GAGCUCCCGGGCAGCCCAUAGGCAAGGACUGGAGGUGAGAGGGUUGGAUGAGGGUCACUUCCCUGCAGGGGUCCACAGGGUGACCUGGGGCUGUCAUAAUGAAGUACUACGGGCUGGGGACUUAAGCAGCAUCUAUUUAUUGUCUCAGUUAUGGAAGCUGGAAAUUCCAGACCAAGAACAUCCUCACGAGAGAGAAGUUAACUGGUGUGGGGGAGUGCUUUAGCUCUGAGGAAUGGCUGCCAACCUCACCUAGUCCUUUCCACAAAGGACACUGGAAUUGGUGCAAAUCCAACACUGGCCAGCUCACCAUGCCUACUACCUUAGCAAUGCUUCUCUGGCUGUCAAAUGCACACACAGACGGCAGCACUCCUUCCGAGCUGGCCGUGGACCUUGCAAAUGAGUGUGCACAUCAUUUAGAAACUAUUCACAUCCUGGAGUGGCCAGAGCACGUAGAGUGAUUGGAGCCAUGCGGACCGUUUCCAUGAAGCCUGGUAACACACAGUGGGGCCUAGUUUUCCAAUGAGCUGUUUUUCCUCUUCAAUGUGUGUCGCCUGGCAUGGAUAUCAAAGUGCACACCCUGACAAGAUCACACCUCACCUGUGUCUCACUGAUCCACCUGCUGAAGGACACAGUGAGAAACCAACCAUCCACAAGCCAGGAAGAGUCCUCACGAGAACCCAGCCAUGCUGGAAUCCUUAUCUUGGACUUUCCAGCCUCU